CAGUCGCCGCGGUAAUUCGAAGGGUGCAAGCGUUACUCGGAAUUACUGGGCGUAAAGCGUGCGUAGGUGGUGGUUUAAGUCUGCUGUGAAAGCCCUGGGCUCAACCUGGGAAUUGCAGUGGAUACUGGAUCACUAGAGUGUGGUAGAGGGAUGCGGAAUUUCUGGUGUAGCAGUGAAAUGCGUAGAGAUCAGAAGGAACAUCCGUGGCGAAGGCGGCAUCCUGGGCCAACACCGACACUGAGGCACGAAAGCGUGGGGAGCAAACAGGAUUAGAUACCCCUGUAGUCCCUGUCUCUUAUAC
rnacentral:rRNA from 1 species